CCCCGCGGCGAGGCGCGGCGGCAGCGCGGCGCGGAGCGGUGCUGCCCGCGGAGGAUGAUGGCGCCGGCGACCGCCACCGCGGUGGCGGGCCCGCUGGCCCUGCUCGACCCCUCAGGGCAAUUUGCAAAAAGGAAGAAGACUUCACUUUGGUUCACAGUCUCUCUACUGGUGGUGUCCAUUUUCAUACUGACCAUAGGUCUGGCAGCUACAACAAGAACAGAAAAUGUUACUGUGGGAGGCUACUACCCAGGCAUCAUUCUUGGCUUUGGAUCUUUCCUAGGGAUUGUUGGCAUCCACCUGGUAGAGAACAGAAGACAAAUGUUAGUAGCAUCCAUCGUGUUUAUCAGCUUUGGCGUGGUAGCAGCAUUCUGUUGUGCAAUAGUUGAUGGAGUGUUUGCAGCACGGCAUAUAGAACCUAGACCUUUGUAUAACAGGAGAUGCCAGUUUUAUUCAAGUGGAGUAGGAUUCCUAUAUGAUGCCUACCAGACAGAGGUGACGUGUUAUACCUUAAAUACCAAGUGCCAGCUGAAAGUAAAGAGUAACACGUGCUAUUGCUGUGACCUGUACAACUGUGAGAACUCGGAGCAGUCCUCCAGCUACUACGAAUUUCUUGGCGUGAGUGGUUGUCAGGACGUGGUUCACCUGUAUAGGCUGCUGUGGUCCUCCACAGUCCUGAACAUCAUCGGGUUGUUUCUGGGGAUCAUCACAGCAGCCAUUCUUGGGGCAUUUAAAGACAUGGUACCUAUGUCCCAAAUUGCUUUCAGUGCUGCACCUCCUCCUCAGAUCCUGUACAACCCUGCCCAGCAGAUCCUGACAUAUGCUGGAUUUUGUCCUUCUGCAGCAACUAUUUCUACAUAUCCAUCCUACCCGUUGCCUCUUCAGCUGAAAAGCUGUGCUGUUCGACAGAGUUCAGUUAGCACGUAGCCAAGAGUAGAGAGAGAAGGAGAUAAACAGAUGAAAGCAAGCAAUGAAGCUGAAAAAAUGCAUUCAGAGGCGGACAUCACCAGCUGUCUCCAAGUCAGGAGAGGUUAGCAAGAAGUGCAGGAGAUCCAAAAGGGAAAGCACUUAAUCCUUUUCUUGGGGGAAAAAAAAAAAGAAAAUCAGUCUUACUGCAUGUACAGCUAAUUAUGUUGUACUUUGGAGAUAAUUAAUUUCUGCUUCAGUAUAAUGCAAUAGUUAUGAGUUAAAAAUCAUCAUAAACUUACUCAAAGUUACAAAAGGGUGAAUGUGAGAAGCAGACCUGAUUUGGAACAGACAAAUGCUCAUACAACAUGCUCAUCCACUGAGAGCUGCGGGCUGAACCCAUAGGGCUGGAGGCCUUCGUAAUCCUCCUCAGUGCCCUGUUACUGCAUUCAGGCCUUCGCAAGCUCUGCUUAGCUGGUGCUGGUCCUUAAGGCAAUUGAAGACUCUCGACUGUGAUUACUCUAGCUAAAUGCAGGGGCUGUUGGCAUGUAGGGAUCUAGUGCUGUGUGAUAAUGAGAUGAAGUAUGCCUUGAUGUCUGGCAUGCUGCAUGGCACCCUUUUAGGCUCGGUGCUCAUGUGCAGGCAGCUGAAUGAAGCUCUAGAUGUCUGCAGUGUAAGAGACUCCAUCUGAGGGGGUUCUGUUCACUUGAAUGGCUACGUUGUUGAGCCCUGAAUGGAGAUACCAACAUUCAAGGCUGAACCCUGUAACCUAUGACUGCAAUACAGUUGCCUAACAAUACCACAUCUGAGGUGGCCUCAGGUUUGCUAGACAUCCAUAAAGGAUUGGCUGAUGGCCAGAGGUCUACACAGGCCUUGCAUGUACUUUUGGAGCAGCAAGCACAGGCCUGAUAGGGUGCCCAUGAGCAUUUCAAAGGUAUAACAUUUUUUCUUCCAGGUAGACCAGGAUCCACCUCUGCCUUGGCAGUGCUGAGUCACAUAACUUUGGCUCACCACCCAGAGGCACCCCAGAGCUCCCAGGGGCACCCUCAGAGCAGCCCUAUCAUGCAGGCCCUGCACAGGUAGAGAUGGUGCUGAUGGCCUCAGCACUGAGCACCAGGAACUCAGCCCUGCCUACUGCCCACAUGGGAAGCCCAGCUGGAGGCUGGCAUCUCAUCCUCAGGCCUCAUUCCCUGUCUGGUAUCCUUCCUAAGGUUACUGGUGAGGAAGGCCUCAAAGACACACCUCUCUUUCUCAGCGUUCCCUUUGACUACACACCAUUCCCGCAUUUCAUGCUGACCUGCACCUCCCCCAGUCAGUGCAGAGUCACACAUGUGGUGGCUCAGCGCAAUAAAAGGAACAAAACCUCCUUCAGCUAAGAGUUCACCUAAGAACUGAUCAGAUGUGGUCAGUUUAGUGGGGAAAUAUUGGUGGUAGGUGGAUGGUUGGACUAGAUGAUCUUGGAGGUCUUUUCCAGCCUUGGCAAUUCUAUGAUUCUAUGCUGUGUUCCUAGUCCUCUGCUGAAUCUGGUAUGUCAGUGAGUAACCACUUGCUGGAAAGGUGAACAGUUUUUAAAAAAAUAAAAAAAUCACACCUUGAGCUGUUGGUAAAUGCUUAGUUUACCUCACACUCUGUCCACAAGCAGAAACCAGAAAAUGCAAAUAAAAAGAGGCAACAGCAGGAAUGCACGUUGACAAAGUUGCAAUCAGCAGUUCUUUCGUUUACUGUGGCAUGUGAUAACAAAAUCACUCAGUCCUUACUGGAACAGCUCAGACACAACCAGUCUUAGUCAAGAGAGCUGCCAGCUGGUCAGGUAAAUGAUUAGCUGUGUGGGGACGGGGGUGAUGACAGCGGUAUGGUUGUGCCAGCCAUGCCUGCCAACGGAGAACUCAUUACAGAAGCACUGCCAGGCAGACGUGUGGAAACAGUGGAUGCAGUUUGAGGGUGAGAGAGAAGCAACAACUACAAAAAAAAUACCAGAAACCAAACUACACUAAGCCCAAAAACUAUGUUUGGAGCUGAUCUAGCCAGCAGGUCUUUGGGUAUACCUUCACUGCCUCCUGGAUAAUGAUGGUGCAUAAACACCCUUCCUGCCACAAAAUCCCUUUUCUCACUAAGUCACGCUGUGGUACAAUUGCAGGACUUCUCCUCUCCAUGUGAGUUUGGCUCAGGGCAGCAGCCCCGAGUCCUACAGAGAAGCUAGAUGGGCAGUGCAGCAUGGGGACUGGCAGCCCUGGGUAGCUCUGAGGUGCCACCAGCCAAAUAUCAACCCUGUUACUGCUAUCUUGAUGAUGACGAGUAUUUUUUUUGGCAUGUUAAGUACUCAGGACAGCACUGUUUUCUUGCUUGGAUUUUUUCAUUUCCCUUGAAAUAGAUCCAUGAUUACUAUUUUUUUUUUUAAA